rnacentral:rRNA from 1 species
GACGAACGCUGGCGGCGUGCUUAACACAUGCAAGUCGAACGGAAAGGCCCUGCUUUUGUGGGGUGCUCGAGUGGCGAACGGGUGAGUAACACGUGAGUAACCUGCCCUUGACUUUGGGAUAACUUCAGGAAACUGGGGCUAAUACCGGAUAGGAGCUCCUGCUGCAUGGUGGGGGUUGGAAAGUUUCGGCGUUUGGGGAGGGACUCGCGGCUUAUCAGCUUGUUGGGGGGGUAGUGGCUUACCAAGGCUUUGACGGGUAGCCGGCCUGAGAGGGUGACCGGCCACAUUGGGACUGAGAUACGGCCCAGACUCCUACGGGAGGCAGCAGUGGGGAAUAUUGCACAAUGGGCGGAAGCCUGAUGCAGCAACGCCGCGUGCGGGAUGACGGCCUUCGGGUUGUAAACCGCUUUCGCCUGUGACGAAGCGUGAGUGACGGUAAUGGGUAAAGAAGCACCGGCUAACUACGUG